rnacentral:rRNA from 6 species
UCGACCUCAGAUCAGACGAGAUGACCCGCUGAAUUUA